UCUUUCAUUGGCGCCGAUUUGCCUGGUCCGCUUGCGGGCGCCUGAUAAAUCCAGCUAAAGAGUUCCGUCCAUCGUGUCU
rnacentral:ncRNA from 2 species